GGUGGGAGAUGAAAGGUGUCCAACCUGACAUACCAUGUUGAGUAUUGUGACCCUUGUUUCCCCACCGAGCCCCCUCGGCAGGUGAUGAAAGGUGUCCAACCUGACAUACCAUGUUGAGUAUUGUGAUCCUUGUUUCCCCACCGAGCCCCCUCGGCAGGUGAUGAAAGGUGUCCAAUAUUACAUGUCAUGACUUGAGUUGAUGACGUGGUCAUGUGGGCACUUGGUGUCAUGGAACUUGAUGUCACGACUACCGUAUUGUUGCACUAUGAAGGAUCAGAGAAGGUUUUUACAUAAUUUAGGAACUGUCUUUAUGCAAGGAUUACCAGGAGGAAUAAACAAAACAGUAACAUA